UGCACCUAAUGCCACUGAACUGUACAUUUUAAAAUGGCUAAGAUGGUACUUUUUUUUUUGAGACAGGGGCUCACUCUGUCACCCAGGCUAAAGUGCAGUGGUGUGAUCACAGCUCACUGCAGUCUUGACCUCCCAGAUUCAAGUGAUCCUCCCACCUCAGCCCCACAAGUAGCUGGGACUACAGACGUAUGCCACCAAGCCCAGCUAAUUUUUAAUUUUUUUGUAGAGAUGGGGUCUCACUAUGUUGCCAGGCUGGUCUCAAAAUCCUGGGCUUAAGCAUUCUGCCCUCCUCGACCUCCCAAAGUACUGGGAUUACAGGCGUGAGCUAUGAUGCCUGGCCAAGAUGGUACAUUUUAUGUUAUGUGUAUCUUAACACAAUUUUUGAAAAUAAAAUUAAAUAAGUUAACAAAUAACGCAUGGAUGAGCUUGUAAGGUAGAAAAGGAAGUCCCCAGAUGCUGAAGUGAAGAGGAAGCUGAGAGCUGAAAACAGUGGUCGUGGGGAGACAAUCAGGUCCAGUUAUGGCCAAAGGCUUGGCUUUUAACACCCAUGCAGGGACAGGAGAUGAGGCCUCAUGCCUGGAUAAAGUGACUGGUUGGAACUGAGUCCCCUACAUAAAACCCAGAUGCUCUGAGAAAAGCCAACCAUCAAUCCAGAAAGAUAUUAAGGAAGCUCAUCUCUACCCUGGCUCCAGCUGGGGGGAAGAACAGACCCCUGUGAAAAAUCAAAACCCCAGCCAUGUGCUUGGCCCAAGUUUAGAGUCCAAAUAUCUACUAACUGCAUCAGAAGGGAACCCCAAGCCAAGAAAUUAACAUAAAAUUGGUUCUUAGCUCCAGGAUUUGACACAGCCAAAGCCAGUGCAGCCCUGCAGAGCUGGAGGAUGACCUGAGCAUGGAACACACAAAGGAAAGAGGCAGAGGACAGGCAGAGCCCUGAGAAGCCACAUCCUGGCUUCUGAGCUGCUUUCCAAAGGCCCUGAGUUUGACAGAAAUCCAAACAUGUCUCGUCUCAGACGCUUUCCCCUUUAAUUUUCAAAUUGAUGUAUACCUCUUCCUUGGUGGUCAAAGGGAACUCAUCCAAGCCACAGGGGUGCAGGGCUUGGCUCUGUCAAAGAAGCAGUGUGGUCCUUGAAGCUAGCACUACCAGGGCUUUCAUUUGGUUCUCCAGCACAAU
rnacentral:lncRNA from 10 species